UAGGGAAUCUUCCACAAUGGGCGCAAGCCUGAUGGAGCAACACCGCGUGAGUGAAGAAGGUUUUCGGAUCGUAAAGCUCUGUUGUAAGAGAAGAACGUGUGUGAGAGUGGAAAGUUCACACAGUGACGGUAACUUACCAGAAAGGGACGGCUAACUACGUGCCNG
rnacentral:rRNA from 1 species